AUGGAAGGAGGCGACAAGGGGGUAGGGGAGGAGGUCGUCGCCAUUGAGGAGGAGGUUGGUGCCCAUGAGCACCUAUGGUCCCUUGUGCUUGCUAGCAGCUCCACCUCCGCCUUGAUGUCGGUGUGGCGGAUGCCGAGCACAAGAAGGUUGGGGAAGAUGUCAGCGCGCGGGGCGAAGGUGGUCGAUGUUGAGGAACAACUUCUAGUGACCAAGGUAGAGGCGGUGGAGGAACAUGACACUGAGGACAUAGAUCCAGCUUGGCUAGAAUGGGAACCACCACCAAAACUCAUAGGUGGUGCGGCUAGUGACAAAGAAGUGGCUGUAGCUGCCCAUGGCUUGCCACUCCGGUCACCGGUGGUGGGAGAGGGUCACCGGGGCGAGGGAGAGAAGGAAAUUGUCGAUAGCGCGCGCGAAGAAGAAGAUAAGGUUGGGGAAGACAAGAUAAAUGGACAGGGUAUUUUGGUCCAUAUAUAAAAAAUACGGU
rnacentral:lncRNA from 1 species